GCUACACAUGCAAGUCGAACGGUAACAGCAGAGCUUGCUCUGGCUGACGAGUGGCGCACGGGUGCGUAACGCGUAUGCAACUUACCCCAAACUGGAGAAUAGCCUUUCGAAAGGAAGAAUAAUACUCCAUAGUAUUUCAAAGAGGCAUCUCUUUGUUCUUAAAGCUUCGGCGGUUUGGGAUGGGCAUGCGUUCUAUUAGUUAGUUGGUGAGGUAACGGCUCACCAAGACCACGAUAGAUAGGGGGCCUGAGAGGGUUAUCCCCCACACUGGUGCUGAGACACGGACCAGACUCCUACGGGAGGCAGCAGUGAGGAAUAUUGCACAAUGGACGAAAGUCUGAUGCAGCCAUGCCGCGUGCAGGAUGAAUGCCCUACGGGUUGUAAACUGCUUUUAUAUAGGAAGAAACCCGAGAACGUGUUCUCGGCUGACGGUACUAUAAGAAUAAGGACCGGCUAACUCCGUGCCAGCAGCCGCGGUAAUACGGAGGGUCCAAGCGUUAUCCGGAUUUAUUGGGUUUAAAGGGUCCGUAGGCGGGAAAAUAAGUCAGUGGUGAAAGCCUGCAGCUCAACUGCAGAACUGCCAUUGAAACUGUUUUUCUUGAAUAUAGAUGAAGUGGGCGGAAUAUAUCAUGUAGCGGUGAAAUGCAUAGAUAUGAUAUAGAACACCAAUUGCGAAGGCAGCUCACUAAACUAUUAUUGACGCUGAGGGACGAAAGUGUGGGGAGCGAACAGGAUUAGAUACCCUGGUAGUCCACACCGUAAACGAUGAUUACUCGGUGCUAGCGAUAUACUGUUAGUGCCUAAGCGAAAGCGAUAAGUAAUCCACCUGGGGAGUACGGUCGCAAGAUUGAAACUCAAAGGAAUUGACGGGGGCCCGC
rnacentral:rRNA from 1 species